AAUACACCGGUAAAGUAAAAAUACAUGCCACUUUGACUUAAAUCUACUUUUAUGUGUUGUUUGCGGUGCGAAAAGCGAAUCUCUAUGCGCGUGUAUAGAACAUUAGUUCCUAGCUCGUGUCCGUUGUCUUUUUUUUUUUUUUGCGUGUGUAAUUGAACGGGUCUGUGAUUAAUAUGGUUCUACAGUGAUCCGCGUAGUAGCAGAUGUACUGGCGCAUGGACGAGACUCCGACGAAUCCGAGCAGGCUGGCGCGACCAGACCAGCGCAGCCGGCUCUCUCUCGCGGCCGCACGCUGUAGCCGCGCGGAGCGCCUCGCGUCACGUGGCCCCCUUUCCGACCGGGGUGUGGGCGUGUCCUACGGCAGAGGGUUUUCAUUCAUAAAUCCUUUUGGCUUGCUAAAUCAAAAUUAAGGUGUUCGGCGAAGGUUGGCAGCCCAUUGGUUUCUGUCUAAAUACCCCUGCAUGGACCACAUGAAUUACAAUUAGGAGGACUUCCCCACUGGCCUGGACCAUGAGCAAUGAUGUACCCGUCUGGAAAUACCUAACGGAGAACACUACGGACGUCCCGAAAGACACUGGGAAGCAGGACGGCUAUGUCCUCCUGCUGGUCCUCCUGUCCAUCUUCAUCGGGGGGACGCUGGUCCUGCUCUCCGGCCUGCUGGUCAUCUGUCGGCGGUGCUGUGAGGGAGACCGCCGCUAC